rnacentral:rRNA from 1 species
GACGAACGCUGGCGGCGCGCUUAACACAUGCAAGUCGAGCGAGAACCAGGGCUUCGGCCCUGGGGACAGCGGCGAACGGGUGAGUAACACGUGGGUAAUCCACCCUCGGCACCGGAAUAGCCCGGGGAAACCCGGAUUAAUGCCGGAUGGCCCGCCGGCCCCGAGGGGCUGGCGGAAAAGGUAGCUUCGGCCUCCGGCCGAGGACGAGCCCGCGACGGAUUAGCUUGUUGGUGGGGUAACGGCCUACCAAGGCUGCGAUCCGUAGCUGGUCUGAGAGGACGAUCAGCCACACUGGGACUGAGACACGGCCCAGACUCCUACGGGAGGCAGCAGUGGGGAAUCUUGCGCAAUGGGCGAAAGCCUGACGCAGCGACGCCGCGUGGGGGAAGAAGGCCUUCGGGUUGUAAACCUCUUUCAGGAGGGACGAAGCCACUCGGGUUAAUAGCCCAGAGGGUGACGGUACCUCCAGAAGAAGCCCCGGCUAACUACGUGCCAGCCGCCGCAGUAAAAC